CCUACGGGAGGCAGCAGUAGGGAAUAUUGCUCAAUGGGGGAAACCCUGAAGCAGCAACGCCGCGUGGAGGAUGAAGGUUUUCGGAUUGUACACUCCUUUUGUUAGAGAAGAUAAUGACGGUAUCUAACGAAUAAGCACCGGCUAACUCCGUGCCAGCAGCCGCGGUAAUACGGAGGGUGCAAGCGUUACUCGGAAUCACUGGGCGGAAAGAGCGCGUAGGCGGGAUAGCAAGUCAGAUGUGAAAUCCUAUGGCUUAACCAUAGAACUGCAUUUGAAACUGUUAUUCUAGAGUAUGGGAGAGGAAGGUGGAAUUCUUGGUGGAGGGGUAAAAUCCGUAGAGAUCAAGAGGAAUACUCAUUGCGAAGGCGACCUGCUAGAACAUAACUGACGCUGAUGCGCGAAAGCGUGGGGAGCAAACAGGAUUAGAUACCCCUGUAGUC
rnacentral:rRNA from 1 species